GCCUGGGUGGCUCAGUUGGUUGAGCGUCUGACUCUUGGUUUCGGCUCAGGUCGUGGUCUCACGGUUCGUGGGUUCGAGCCCCACAUCGGGCU
rnacentral:tRNA from 1 species